GGGGUUGUGUCUCAGAGGUAGAGUACAUGCCCAGAAUGCGUGAUGCACUGGGUUCAAUCCUCAGCACCACA
rnacentral:tRNA from 1 species